AAUGUCAUUAACGAAUGUCACAAAUGUCUAAAUUAAAAAUGUACCAAAAAAGUGCCAGUUGAAACUUGUGUAGUCCAAAAUUUUAAGUGAUUCUGAAAAAUGUUAAAAAAUAAUGGGAAAUCGAAUUAACAGAAUACUGCAUAAACAGAUAAUAUCCGCCAGAUCGCUAACAGCCGUCCAAGAAGUGGUGAGAUUCUUAAAAAGGCAUUUACACCGAAGAGACAUAUUCCAUGGCGCCGUCAAUGAGAACAGGGUUAGAAAGAUCACCGUGGAAUUGCGCAGGGGAGGUUCCGGAUUGUCCCAUCUCUUAAGACAAGGAUGGGUACUAGAAAGUGCGGCCGCGCUGCAUCGUUUCCUGCGAAAUUUGAAAAAACCUCUAGUGCCGCCCCAUAUUCAAGCAUUAGCGCUUGACGAAAAUCCGGGAGUCUCACCCGAAGUUGUGGCGCAAGACGUCCUGGGCCUGGUAAAACAAGAUGUCAAGGGGAGGCAGUAUCAUCUUGUCUCUUCUGUGUUGGAUUUCUUGUAUUGCGUACUAAAAGAAACGCCGACGGACGAAUUGACAGGAUGCAGUGUUCCGAUUACGAUGAUUCCUAUAUUUUUCAACAUUCAGACAAACGACCUACGCCACUGGAGAAGAAUUGCAACAGUCUUUGUGGAAAUUAUUCGCAUGGCACCCACUGAACUGAACCUAUUAACGGAAGAAACCUCAAGUGUGGAGGGUCUCUUCGUAAUACCAAAUGUUCGAGAUGAACUUCACACUACGUAGAAUAGCGGUAAUACUACGCCUGAGGAACGUGGGUUCGCGUUUUAAUCACAGCUAUGUUAGACAACAAGUGUACCAUAGGGAGUUGGGACAUUACAAUAUUUAAAGAGGGUUUUAGCUCAACACAAUAUUGGAUAAACAUCUCUUGUAACAUUUUUGUAGUUGUGGGAAUGUAUCAAUGUAAUACACGUACCUUAUGAC